CGACAAAAAGCCAUAAAUGAUAAAAAAAAACACCAGAUCCAAGCAAACACACGAGCAUCAGAUACUCAACAAGUUACCACCACUCUAAAAAACGAAGAUGGUUCUUGAAUGGAAGAAGUAAAAUCAACCUAAUGCCAACCAGAAGAAUCAAAGGAGAAAAGAAAGAUGGAGGAAGAUGUCACAGUCAAGUACCAAACUAAAGUCAGGAGAUCAGAGCAUCAAUGGUAGAAGUCAAAAGCAUUGGAUGAAGGAUAACAUUUUCAGUGAUGAGUAUGGCAGAGCUGAAUAGUGUGACACCACAUGGACCAGGAACCACAAGCAUACUCUACAAGGUCCUUCCCAGAAAACAUUUGCUGGCUCUGAAAUAGACCAUGGAGAAAUACCAAGAUGCGGUUUUUCUAAACUCAAAGUUGGAGGAAAAUACAUACACUGAGCUGAAGAACACCUGGAAGUGUCAUCUUUAAAGGCACCGGUCAGGGGAAGCUUGGCUGAGGAGAAACAGAGCCAUGGCUGAUACAUCCAGAGCAAGAAUGAGGAAGUUCCUGGAACAUUAACAACAAAGCAACAAAGAGUGACCUGGUGCCCUGAAGCUGAUGCAGGAAAGGCUGCAGCACAUUACUGAGUCGGGUCUUGUCUACUCAGAAGCAUUCCAUAUUCCAACGAGGCAGUUAGAAACUCUUUGAAGUCUGUCCUAGCCGUCUGUUCUUCUUUUAAAUUGUCAAUAAUUUUAACACAGCAAUCAACACACA
rnacentral:lncRNA from 1 species